AUGCAGGUGUUCGACUUCGAGCUCUCGGAGGCUGACGUCAAAAUACUCACAGGACUCAACAGGAACAUGCGCUUGUUCACGUACAACAUUUACGGAUUGCCAAACAGAGCAGAGUACCCUUUCAAGUGAAUCGCCGCUUCUCGAUAGCUCGCAAGAAGUGAUCUGUAUAUCGUCCUCCGAUCACACACCUCCCAAAUAAAAGAUAAUCGUCACA